GCCUGGGUGGCUUAGUCAGUUAAGAAUCUGAUUGUUGAUUUUGGCUCAGGUCAUGAUUUCACAGUUCGUGGGAUCAAGUCCUGCCUCAGGCU
rnacentral:tRNA from 1 species